rnacentral:rRNA from 1 species
GCAAGUCUGAUGCAGCAACGCCGCGUGGAGGAUGAUUGGUCUUUUGGAUUGUAAACUCCUUUUUCUCAGGGAAGAGAAUGGACGGUACCUGAGGAAUAAGUCACGGCUAACUACGUGCCAGCAGCCGCGGUAAUACGUAGGUGGCAAGCGUUAUCCGGAAUUACUGGGCGUAAAGCGCACGCAGGCGGUCUCUUAAGUUUGACGUGAAAGCUCCCGGCUUAACUGGGAGAGGUCGUUGAAUACUGGGAGACUUGAGGCAAUGAGAGGGGUGUAGAAUUCAGGUGUAGUGGUGGAAUGCGUAGAUAUCUGGAGGAAUGCCAGUGGCGAAAGCGGCACCCUAGCGUUGUUCUGACGCUCAUGUGCGAAAGCGUGGGGAGCGAACGGGAUUAGAUACCCCGGUAGUCCACGCCGUAAACGAUGAACACUAGGUGUAGGUGAUGUGAAAGUUAUCUGUACCGAAGCCAACGCGUUAAGUGUUCCGCCUGGGGAGUACGGCCGCAAGGCUA